rnacentral:lncRNA from 1 species
GUGAACCUGAGCAAAUUUUUAAUAGCCACAACAUCCUGAGGCAAAGAGUUAUACUAACAGUAACUUGUGUAAAGAAACAGUUCUGCUUUGGCCUAUUGAGAGGGAAAUUGGAUAUGCAGUGUACAGUAUUUUCUCGCAGUCAGGGAUAAACUUCUCUAGAACUUAUAUGACCACAGAUGACACACAGCCCCAUUUCCAGAAAUAUCCAUUUACUUUUGUUUAAAGCAGAAAUGACAAAAGCUAUUAACACACAUUUUGCUAUUUAUUUCAGGCCUCUUCUCUGAGCUCCCAAGACAAGGUUUUCUUAAGGAAAUUCUGAGUCUCGUUGUUGCCACUGCAGACCAGGACCCAAUUUGGAUUUGAGCACCACUGUCAGAUUUCUGAGAUUCUUAAGUUCUGUUACUACACAAAAGAACUCCUUGCGAGAUGCAAUAUUCCCCAGCUCUCAAGAUUAGAGAACAGAGCUAGAUAAUGUGAGUCAACAAUACCACAAGAGCUCUAAAACCAUGAGGAAAAUAAAAUGAGCCUAGCAUUAGCUAUAGUCACAAAUCACAAGCCAGACUUGCAAUUUCAAAGAGAAUGAUGCAAUUUUGUAUACUUCAACUUAGCCAUACUUCAAGAUUAGUUUAAAAGCCAUGGAUAAAAACUUCUGAUAAGCAUAAAUGAGAAGAGCAUAAUUGCACUGACUACUGCAUGAGUAUGAAAAGAGAUGGCAGGAAAUAUACCAAGAUUUUUCAGAAGAGAACUGAGAGUCUGCAAACAGUGGGACAACUCCACAGAACUAAGUGUAUGAACUACUAAAUUCAACCAUAACUGGAAUGUUCAAAAUAAGAAUAAAACUGCCUGCUGUGGUUGGAGGAAAACAAAGCAAGACAAAACAAAACCACCACCACCAACAACAAAAAAAUAGCAACAAAGAGAUCUGAAGGAAUCACUCUACUGAAGAGCCAAUGUAAGUUUAUGAUAGUUACAAGCAGAGCUGCGUCAUGUCUCAGCCACUUGGUGAAGUACAAGCAUCAUCUGAGGAACAGAUGUGAAUCUCAGUUCUUUUCUCCACCAGCUCUUCUCCCUUCAGUCAUUCCCAGCAUACCGUGAAGAGAUCACUCUACCCUCUCCCAGUCUCCUGGAGGAAGACUCUGCUUCUUGAUCUGUGUACAUCACCAGAGUGGUACUGGUCAAGUCAGAAAGCCGUAAUUAAAGCAGUAGGUAAUCCCCACUUCUUUC